rnacentral:rRNA from 1 species
GUUGAACGCUGGCGGCAGGCCUAACACAUGCAAGUCGAGCGGAGCUUCGGACGGGUGAUUAAUGCCUAGGAAUCAGCCUGGUAGUGGGGGAUAACGUCCGGAAACGGGCGCUAAUACCGCAUCAUAUCAGAGCAGCCUAGGUCGGAUUAGCUAGUUGGUGGGGUAGAGGCCUACCAAGUCGACGAUCCGUAACUUCUCUGAGAGGAUGAUCCAUCACACUGGAACUGAGACACGGUCCAAACUCCUACGUGAGGCAGCAGUGGGGAAUAUUGGACAAUGGGCGAAAGCCUGAUCGAGCCAUGCCGCGUGAGUGAAGAAGGUCUUCGGAUUGUAAAGCACUUUAAGUUGGGAGGCGUUAUCAACAGAAUAAGCACCGGCUAACUUCGUGCCAGCAGCCGCGGUAAUAC